rnacentral:rRNA from 1 species
GGGACAGCAGAGACAGGUGGUGCAUGGUUGUCGUCAGCUCGUGUCGUGAGAUGUUGGGUUAAGUCCCGCAACGAGCGCAACCCUUGCUUACAGUAGCCAGCAGCAAGGCUGGGCACUCUGUAAGGACUGCCGGGGAUAACCCGGAGGAAGGCGGGGACGACGUCAAAUCAUCAUGCCCCUUAUGGGCUGGGCUACACACGUGCUACAAUGGCGCCAACAGAGUGAGGCGAACCUGCGAGGGGGAGCAAAGCACAAAAAGGCGUCCCAGUUCGGAUUACAGCCUGCAACCCGGCUGUAUGAAGCUGGAAUCGCUAGUAAUCGCAGAUCAGAAUGCUGCGGUGAAUACGUUCCCGGGUCUUGUACACACCGCCCGUCACACCAUGGGAGCCAGGAAUGCCCGAAGCCAGUGGCCUAACCGCAAGGGAGGAGCUGUCGAAGGCAGGCCCGGUAACUGGGGUGAAGUCGUAACAAAGUAACCGUAAGGGC